rnacentral:rRNA from 1 species
CAGAAUGCUACGGUGAAUACGUUCCCGGGCCUUGUACACACCGCCCGUCACACCAUGGGAGUGGGUUGCAAAAGAAGUAGGUAGCUUAACCUUCGGGAGGGCGCUUACCACUUUGUGAUUCAUGACUGGGGUGAAGUCGUAACAAGGUAACCGUAGGGGAACCUGCGGUUGGAUCACCUCCUUA